rnacentral:rRNA from 1 species
AUGGCGGCCGCGGGAGAUCCUCUCCAAGGUCAAGCACGUCCAGGCCAAGCCUGCUGGCCGUCCUCGCGGGUGACUGCCUCCACGGUGACGACGGCGGCGAUCUCGUCGUCCCCACCCCCGAUUCAUCUCCAAUCCCGCCGCCGACACCCAACCCCACCCCCACGGAUGACCUCCCUCCCUUGCUCCUCCCUCCCACGUCACCGCCGCCGCCACACACUGCCGAUCCCCUCACAUCCCGUACCCUCUCCAGUCCCCUCCCCUCCCCUGCCCUCAUCAGAAGAGGAAGAGAAGAGGGUUAGGCGGAUCAGGCGGCCGCCAUGGCGUGACCAGAUCCGCCACGGUUUCCCCGCGCGUUAUCCACGGGCUCGACUCCAGGGACUGGUCUGCGAGGCCCUCAACGACGCGCGCCGCCUCGCCAUCCACCACCCUGCCCUCCUUGUCCCCAUCCUGGAGAAGGUGGUGCUGGGGAUCUUGAAGACGGUGAAGAACCCGUGCAGUGCCGUGCUCAAGACCUCCGUGAUGGCGUGCACGGACGUCUUCACGGCCUUCGGCAACCUCUCCUUGAGCAGCAGCUUGUCCAAGCCGAUGCAGUUGGAGUUCAUAUAUAUUUCUCCAAAAAUUAUACUCUCACUACGCGCCGCCGGAUUCGAGGGUGGAGCCCGAGCCUCCACUGGAGCAUGGAUCAGCCAUGCAGAGGUGGAGCUCCGCAUGGAUCACGACUUGGUCGUUGUGGGGGCCUGGACCAUCAAGCUCGCGGGCGAGAUGGACGGCCUCGGCAACGGAGGCGCGCGUGAGAUCCUGGGGUUGACCAAUCCACGGGGCGCCAGAUCUUCCCUUGGGGUCGCCUGA